GUCCUGGCAGUAAACGGUGCACGCUUGGUAUGGGGGGAAUCGACCCCUCCCGUGCCGGAGCUAACGCGUUAAGCGUGCCGCCUGGGAAGUACGGUCGCAAGAUUAAAACUCAAAGAAAUUGACGGGGACCCGCACAAGCGGUGGAGUAUGUGGCUUAAUUCGAUGCAACGCUAAUAACCUUACCUGGGCUUGACAUGCAUCUCUCAAACGGUGAAAGCCGUGGAUAGGAGCAAUCCUAAAUUUGCACAGGUGUUGCAUGGCUGUCGU
rnacentral:rRNA from 1 species